UACGUAGGGGGCAAGCGUUGUCCGGAUUCAUUGGGCGUAAAGAGCGUGUAGGCGGCCAGGUAGGUCGGUUGUGAAAACUGGAGGCUCAACCUUCAGAGGUCGACCGAAACCAUCUGGCUAGAGUCCGGGAGAGGAGAGUGGAAUUCCUGGUGUAGCGGUGAAAUGCGCAGAUAUCAGGAAGAACACCCGUGGCGAAAGCGGCUCACUGGCCCGGUACUGACGCUGAGGUGCGAAAGCGUGGGGAGCAAACAGG
rnacentral:rRNA from 1 species